rnacentral:rRNA from 1 species
UACGAAGGGGGCUAGCGUUGCUCGGAAUUACUGGGCGUAAAGCGCACGUAGGCGGCUCUUUAAGUCAGGGGUGAAAUCCUGGAGCUCAACUCCAGAACUGCCUUUGAUACUGUGGAUCUUGAGUCUGGGAGAGGUGAGUGGAACUCCGAGUGUAGAGGUGAAAUUCGUAGAUAUUCGGAAGAACACCAGUGGCGAAGGCGGCUCACUGGCCCGGUACUGACGCUGAGGUGCGAAAGCGUGGGGAGCAAACAGG